rnacentral:rRNA from 1 species
AACAGGAAGAAGCUUGCUUCUUUGCUGACGAGUGGCGGACGGGUGAGUAAUGUCUGGGAAACUGCCUGAUGGAGGGGGAUAACUACUGGAAACGGUAGCUAAUACCGCAUAACGUCGCAAGACCAAAGAGGGGGACCUUCGGGCCUCUUGCCAUCGGAUGUGCCCAGAUGGGAUUAGCUAGUAGGUGGGGUAACGGCUCACCUAGGCGACGAUCCCUAGCUGGUCUGAGAGGAUGACCAGCCACACUGGAACUGAGACACGGUCCAGACUCCUACGGGAGGCAGCAGUGGGGAAUAUUGCACAAUGGGCGCAAGCCUGAUGCAGCCAUGCCGCGUGUAUGAAGAAGGCCUUCGGGUUGUAAAGUACUUUCAGCGGGGAGGAAGGGAGUAAAGUUAAUACCUUUGCUCAUUGACGUUACCCGCAGAAGAAGCACCGGCUAACUCCGUGCCAGCAGCCGCGGUAAUACGGAGGGUGCAAGCGUUAAUCGGAAUUACUGGGCGUAAAGCGCACGCAGGCGG